GACGUAGGGCGCGAGCGUUGUCCGGAAUUAUUGGGCGUAAAGAGCUCGUAGGCGGCUUGUCGCGUCGUCCGUGAAAACUCAGGGCUCAACCCUGAGCUUGCGGGCGAUACGGGCAGGCUAGAGUUCGGUAGGGGAGACUGGAAUUCCUGGUGUAGCGGUGAAAUGCGCAGAUAUCAGGAGGAACACCGGUGGCGAAGGCGGGUCUCUGGGCCGAUACUGACGCUGAGGAGCGAAAGCGUGGGGAGCGAACAGG
rnacentral:rRNA from 1 species